UACGGAGGGUGCAAGCGUUAAUCGGAAUUACUGGGCGUAAAGCGCGCGUAGGCGGUAUUGUAAGUGGGAUGUGAAAGCCCCGGGCUCAACCUGGGAACUGCAUUCCAAACUGCAAAACUAGAGUAUGGUAGAGGAUAGUGGAAUUUCAGGUGUAGCGGUGAAAUGCGUAGAGAUCUGAAGGAACACCAGUGGCGAAGGCGACUGUCUGGACCAAUACUGACGCUGAGGUGCGAAAGCGUGGGGAGCAAAC
rnacentral:rRNA from 1 species